UCUGAACCACAAGUAAAGCAGCCCUCUCCCUUCUUAUUCUUCUUGUAGGUCUUCUUUCCCUUCUUCUUGAAGUCGGUAUUCUGUUGGACAGAAUUCUUUCCCUUGGGCUUGUGGGAAUUGAAGUUCCUCCGAUGUACCAUAUUGGCAACAGAAGAGCUUUCGACCGCUUUUCCAUUGGAGUCAUUUUCUCUCGAGUUCUGCUCAACACUCAGAUGGCCGAUGAUGUCCUCUGCUGAGAACUCAUGCAUUU
rnacentral:lncRNA from 1 species